rnacentral:lncRNA from 1 species
UCUGGAUGUCGGAUCCUAUUGCCAGAUGGAUACAUUGAUUAAUAUAAAAAUUUAUUCCUAUGCUACCGACUUAGGUUCGAACCUAUGAGGUCACACUCAAAAAAAUUUAUUGACUGAUCAUGUUACUAAUCAAUGAUUGAGAAUCAUUCAAGGGUGUAAUUAUCAAUUUGAUUAAUGGUUAACCUCAUGCAAAAGUUAU